rnacentral:lncRNA from 1 species
UAACCAACCCCUCGUGGUAGAAUUGGUCAUUGGAAACAGGAUCAAACACGAAGCACUUCAAGAAUAGAUUGAAUUUUGGUUUGGAUUUCCACUGUUCCUUGGUAUUUGAAGAGCAAUUAAUCCAUUUUUCUACCUGCAUUUGAAGGCAUGCCUGAAAAUACAAUGGACUGAACUUAUGUGAUCAAAAUUGCCUGCUAAGAGUAGGGGGUAUGUUAAUUU